AGGGAAUCUUCCACAAUGGACGAAAGUCUGAUGGAGCAACGCCGCGUGAGUGAAGAAGGAUUUCGGUUCGUAAAACUCUGUUGUAAGGGAAGAACAAGUAGCGUAGUAACUGGCGUUACCUUGACGGUACCUUAUUAGAAAGCCACGGCUAACUACGUGCCAGCAGCCGCGGUAAUACGUAGGUGGCAAGCGUUGUCCGGAAUUAUUGGGCGUAAAGCGCGCGCAGGUGGUUCUUUAAGUCUGAUGUGAAAGCCCACGGCUCAACCGUGGAAGGUCAUUGGAAACUGGGGAACUUGAGUGCAGAAGAGGAUAGUGGAAUUCCAAGUGUAGCGGUGAAAUGCGUAGAGAUUUGGAGGAACACCAGUGGCGAAGGCGACUAUCUGGUCUGUAACUGACACUGAGGCGCGAAAGCGUGGGGAGCAAACAGGAUUAGAUACCCUGGUAGUCCACGCCGUAAACGAUGAGUGCUAAGUGUUGGGGGGUUUCCGCCCCUCAGUGCUGCAGCUAACGCAUUAAGCACUCCGCCUGGGGAGUACGGUCGCAAGACUG
rnacentral:rRNA from 1 species